GACGAACGCUGGCGGCGUGCUUAACACAUGCAAGUCGAACGGAAAGGCCCUGCUUUCGUGGGGUUCUCGAGUGGCGAACGGGUGAGUAACACGUGUGUAACCUGCCCUUGACUUUGGGAUAACUUCAGGUAACUGGGGCUAAUACCGGAUAGGAGCUCCUGUUGCAUGGUGGGGGUUGGAACGUCUCGGCGGUUGGGGAUGGACUCGCGGAUUAUCAGCUUGCUGGUGGGCUAGUGGCUUACCGAGGCUUUGACCGGUAGCCGGCCUGAGAGGGUGAACGGCCACAUUGGGACUGAGAUACGGCGCAGACUCCUACGGGAGGCAGCAGUGGGAAGUAUUGCACAAUGAGAGGAAGCCUGAUGCAGCAACGCCGCGUGCGGGAUGACGGCCUUCGGGGUGUAAACCGCUUUAGCCUGUGACGAAGCGGGAGUGACGGUAAUGGGUAAAGAAGCACCGGCUAACUACGUG
rnacentral:rRNA from 1 species